rnacentral:rRNA from 1 species
UACGGAGGAGGCAAGCGUUGUUCGGAUUCACUGGGUGUAAAGGUCAUGUAGGCGUCUUAUUAAGUCGGAUGUGAAAUCCCAUAGCUUAACUAUGGAACUGCAUUCGAUACUGGUAAGAUUGAGUACUUGAGAGGUAAGCGGAAUUCCGGAAGUAUGGGUGAAAUCAGUAGAUAUCCGGAAGAACACCAUUAGCGAAGGCGGCUUACUGGCAAGAUACUGACGCUGAAAUGAGAAAGCUAGGGGAGCAAACAGGAUUAGAUACCCCUGUA